UGGGGAAUAUUGGACAAUGGGGGGAACCCUGAUCCAGCCAUGCCGCGUGUGUGAAGAAGGCCUUAUGGUUGUAAAGCACUUUAAGCGAGGAGGAGGGUACUGGUAUUAAUACUACCAGGUACUGGACGUUACUCGCAGAAUAAGCACCGGCUAACUCUGUGCCAGCAGCCGCGGUAAUACAGAGGGUGCGAGCGUUAAUCGGAUUUACUGGGCGUAAAGCGUGCGUAGGCGGCUAAUUGAGUCGGAUGUGAAAUCCCCGAGCUUAACUUGGGAAUUGCAUUCAAUACUGGUUAGCUAGAGUGUGGGGGAGGAUGGUAGAAUUCCAGGAGUAGCGGUGAAAUGCGUAGGGAUCUGGAGGAAUACCGAUGGCGAAGGCAGCCAUCUGGAAUAACACUGACGCUGAGGUACGAAAGCAUGGGGAGCAAACGGG
rnacentral:rRNA from 1 species